rnacentral:rRNA from 1 species
GUAGGUGGCAAGCGUUGUCCGGAAUUAUUGGGCGUAAAGCGCGCACAGGCGGUCCUUUAAGUCUGAUGUGAAAGCCCACGGCUCAACCGUGGGGGGUCAUUGGAAACUGGGGGACUUGAGUACAGAAGAGGAAAGCGGAAUUCCACGUGUAGCGGUGAAAUGCGUAGAGAUGUGGAGGAACACCAGUGGCGAAGGCGGCUUUCUGGUCUGUAACUGACGCUGAGGCGCGAAAGCGUGGGGAGCAAACAGGGAUUAGAUACCCUGGUAGUCCACGCCGUAAACGAUGAGUGCUAAGUGUUAGGGGGGUUUCCGCCCCCUUAGUGCUGCAGCUAACGCAUUAAGCACUCCGCCUGGGGAUACGGCCGCAAGGCUG